CCCCUAGAAAACAGUCCCCAAAUCAGGGCCGGAUCUAGCCAGCCCUUGUUGGGGGUGCAAACAGAAUAUUGGGGGGCCAGGUUUGGGGAUACUAAGUGGUUGCGGUGUAAAAAAAUGCACAAGAAGUCCCCCUCCGAUAAAAAUCCUGUUUUUAGAGUUUGUAACAUGUCUGUUGCACUGCUCUCACCACCCCUUAAUGAGAUCCAGGUGUGUGAGCAGGUGAGGACCAAGCCCAAUCAGGCAGGCUCUACAGCCACAAUGUUUAAAAAGGUGGCAGUGUGCUGUGUGGAAAUGAGCCCUGAGCACACUGCUUCCCUGAUGACAGCCGGUUUUUCACCUGACUGCCUGACUGCCUGCUGCCACUGCUGUGUUUGCUGCUGCACAACCACUGAUGCUGUGUCAAUGUGGAAAUAAAUGUGGAAAAAGCAAAAGAAGGCUGAGUGAAUUCCUUCAACAAUCAGGGAGCUGGGGCUACUCAAGUCUAGCGACUCAGGGUUUUGAAAAAGGACUUGACAAUG